rnacentral:rRNA from 1 species
ACAAUGGAGAGUUUGAUCCUGGCUCAGGAUGAACGCUGGCGGCGUGCCUAAUACAUGCAAGUCGAACGCUUCACAUAUGUGAAGAGUGGCGAACGGGUGAGUAAUACAUAAGUAACCUGGCCUUUACAGGGGGAUAAC